CGGACUGUCAGACCGACGUCACCUGUGAAGUAACAAAUCUGCUGUACAUAUAUUUUUCAAUUUAAUUCAUUUUGUGUGAAGUAGAGCGUAUCCAAUCAAAGGAAUAUGAGUUUUGAAGCAGAACAACGAAGAC